rnacentral:tRNA from 1 species
GUUUCCGUAGCUUAACUAACGCCAAAGCACGGCCCUGAAGCCGCCAAGAUGGAUUAACCUCCCAGAAACA